GUAGUGUACCUCGGGACAGAAGUGUCUGGGUAAAGUGAGUAGUGUACCUCGGGGCAGACGUGUCCAGGUAAAGUGAGUAGUGUACCUCGGGACAGAAGUGUCUGGGUAAAGUGAGUAGUGUACCUCGGGGCAGACGUGUCCAGGUAAAGUGAGUGGUGUACCACUCACAGCUAUGGUGUGUCUCACAGCUAUGGAAGAUUCAGCCGGAGACGCUCUGACACAGAUUAAUUAACCUGACAUAGAUUCAUUAACCUGACAAAGAUUAAGUGGUCAUCAAUAAACAUGAAAGAAAACUUGAUUCAACAUGCAUCAGAUACAUACAGAACAUGAUACAUUUGAAUGAGAAAAGGCCUGAUUGAUCGGCAAUUACAUACUGCUUAGCUGAUGAGAUGGAAAUAGCAGCAACAGCUAUUCCGGGAAAUUCAGCGACUGAAAGGGCUGUCCCUGGCCUCUGUAUAAAUCACAGGCAGUCGGCUAACAGCAAGCAGACAUUGCAAAGCCCCAUAUGCAAGCAUUUAAGUCUGGAGAUAAGGUGCAUUUAUCGGCUGGAGAGUAAAGUGAGGAAGAAGUGGCCCAGAUCAAUGGCUUCCGCAAGAAACCAAUGUUCAGACAGUUAGUCUGAUUUGUUGGCAAUCUCCUUACACCUCAUCAUGCGUCAUGCUGGGUGACACAGUGGGCGAUGGGGGGGGGGCUAGCUAUACAGCUGCAGAGCUGGGAUUUGUGGAGUCUGCAUGCCCACCCCCCCCAUUGUGUUUGCUGGGGUUACUUACAGUUACACCCACUCUCUCCCACACUCCUGGAGGUGGUGGGCAUUGGGUCAGCUUGUGAUCAGAAGGUUGCUGGUUUAAUCCCCAGCAUCAGCAGAGUGAUGUCAGAGUGAUGUCAGAGUCAUGUCAGAGUGAUGUCACUGUCAGGCCACUGAGGUGGAACCAUAACCCAUAAAAUCAAUUUUUAUGACCUAGCUUUCUGAAAAACAACAAAAACAAAAAAUUAAAACAUCUGUUAAUUAAAUUGCCAAUGUAGCUGAAUUGCCAACCCUAAUCUGCGCUGCUGAGCUUCUGUAAGUCACGCCUCCUGAGGCCCCCACCUCCCGGGUCAGCUUGGGGGUCUUUGGCUUCUCUGCGGCAGGACCACCGCCCCCUGAACGCCGGGCUUCAUGGGAAGGAGGGAGCAUGCUGGUGCCCGUCAGGAAAGACGCAUGAUAGAUGCCUGAUUAUGAUGAUUUAUAUAUAUAUGAAUGUUUAUAUAUGUACAUAUAUAAAUAUGGAUCCACUAUAUAUAUAUAAAUAUGAAAUAUUUCUUUCCUGCUGUGGUGUCCAUGUCUGGGGCAGAAGCAGAAAGAAUAUUGAGGCAGCGAUGGGACUGACGUGGCACUGAAGAAGCCAGCACGUGCACUGAGGGUCUCCACGUCGGAGAGUCGCUGUCGGGCUCAUCAUGCCUGUGUCUCCCUCCCCCCCCCACCCCCAUCCUGCACUAAAAGUGUGAAAGAAUGACCAUGUUGGCCUGACACCACUCUGGUGGGGUGGAAUCUGCAGGUUCACCUCUUCCUGAUUCGCCCUCAUUCCCGAAAUCUGUCCCGUAAACGUUUCCUGAGAUAAGAAUCAUAGGUUUGCUCAAAAGCAAAUCUGGGAGCUUCAGUGCGGAAGGAAUUCCAGUUUGGGAGAAAGCUGCAGAUUUAAUCAGAAGAAAAAUCUGUACUUCUGUCACACCGGACGCAGUAAAUAACAGCGCGUUAUUUGCACUGUGAUCUUCCCCUGUUUGCGAGUAACUGUUAGCUCUGCUAGACUGGUGUCAGCAAAGGUCAUUUGAUUCAUCAGUCCCUCCCAGCCUGUCCUCGCCUCUGUUUCCAUCCCGCUCUCCUGCUCCAUUGUACUUUGGCAGCUGGUAAUGCUCGCUGUUCACAGCAUCUGCUGACCGCGCGGCAGCCACUGCCGGGCGCCCAGACCGCUGAACGGCAGCCAAUCGUGAUUCCCGGCUCCCAGCACCUGCCUGGUUCUUUUAGCUCUGAAGUGCACUGCAUGCUUCUGCUCUGGCUGGGUAACCAGUGUCUGCG